rnacentral:lncRNA from 1 species
UUUAUUUUAAAUUGGUCUGCAAACAUCAAAACAUUUUAAUUACAUCCAAAACUAUCCUUGUUAAAUCGAUCAGACACUUUCGUUAUGAAACUAUUAAUUUAACCAUUAAAUGACAUGUAAAAUUUUAUACGACAUAAUUUAAAACGAAACUUUUAAAGAAAAGUAAAAUGUUGUUGCAUUACUCUUAAAAUUAAAAACUAAAAAUAAAAUAACCCCUCCCCC